rnacentral:rRNA from 1 species
UACAGAGGGGGCAAGCGUUAUUCGGAAUUAUUGGGCGUAAAGGGCGCGUAGGCGGCCAUUCAAGUGACGGGUGAAAGCCCUCGGCUUAACCGAGGAACUGCCUGUCAGACUGGAUGGCUUGAGACCGGGAGAGGUGAGUGGAAUUCCCAGUGUAGCGGUGAAAUGCGCAGAUAUCAGGAGGAACACCAAUGGCGAAGGCAGCACUCUGGGACGUGACUGACGCUGAGACGCGAAAGCGUGGGGAGCAAACAGG